rnacentral:lncRNA from 1 species
GGUGGCACAUGCCUAUAAUCCCAGUCGCUUAGAGGCUGAGGUGGGAGAAUCACAGGUUUUGAAGCCAGUUCAAAACCUGUGAUUUGUGAAGCCAGUCUCAACAAUUUAGUGAGACUGUAAGCAAGACUGAAAGUGAGACCUGGUCUAAAAAAAAAAAAAGGCUGGAGGUAUGGCUCAGUGGUUAAGCACCCCUGAGUUCAAUCCCUGGUGCGCCCCCCUCCAAAAAAAAAUCAUCUUCUGUAAGGAGAGGCACAGAGGUUUAUUUAGGAAAGCAAGGAAUACACUCUCAAGGGAGAAUGCAGGCAGCUAUCUCCAUCUCGUCUCUCUGCAGAGUGAGAGAUGUGCUUUCCGGUUUUGCUUUUAAAGAAAAUUUGGUGAGGGGUGGGUAUGGGAAGGUAUGUAAUGACAUCAGCCCAGUGACCUCAAGAGGGGUUCUGGUGGUCUGGUCAUUCUCAGGAUCUUCAGGCUGUCACGGUCUCCAUUAUCUGAUCAAUAGAUAAUGCUGGAAAGUCCCCCAAAUUAUAGGUUUCCUAAAAUGUCAUAUGUCUCUUUACUUAAUCUACUUAUUAACAGUGCACAAGGUAGGUGGACAGAUUUCCCAGAAAUUUGGGAAUGACAGGCCUGGGAGAGAAAUUGGCUUGGAGAGGGACAGGCCUAGAAAAGCAAGUGGAACUUUUAUAUUUCCUAUUGUUCCUUUAUGUCUCUACCUGUUUUCUAUUCCUUCUACCCUACUUCAAGAGGAAGGCUCUGUCCGUGAAGCUUCUAGUGGGAGAAAAUGAAUGAUAAACCGUGAUGGGUCCGAUGGUGUCGAGCGCUAUGGAGAGUUCGGCAGCAGGGUACAGAGACUAGGGAUGAACGGAGCUGGGAUGUGGCAGGGCUGGGGCAUGGUGCUCUCCAUGAUCAGAGGAGGUCCAUCUCAUAAAGUGACACCUGAACAGACAUCUGGAGAAGUCACAUAGGUAUCUAGGUCACAUAGGUGUCAUAGGGGAAGAGUACUUUAUACAAAGGGAAGGACAAGUGCCCAGCCUUGACAUAGGAGGGCACCCUGUGUGGUUCAAGGAAAGAGAAAGGCUGUGGAGGCUGAAACAGCUGGACAAAGGGAAAGAAGCAAAAGGCAAGAUUAGAGACAAAUCAGGCAGGGUCUUGUAGGUCAUUAUUAGAACCCUAACCUCUACUUGGAGUGAAGUGUCGAGUUCCUGCAGCAUUUUGACCAGAAGAAUGAUGCGAUUUGACUUAAACUUUGAAAGGAUCACUUUGCCUGCUGGGUGGAGAAGUAGAGGAGAAGAGCAAGGAGGGAAACAGAGAGCAGGGAGGAGACUCCUGCAAUACUCCAGGCAAGAGAAGAUGGUGGCUUGGACCAGGCUGGCAGCAGUGGAGGUGGUAAGUAUGGACAUCU